rnacentral:rRNA from 1 species
UGGGGAAUAUUGCACAAUGGGCGCAAGCCUGAUGCAGCCAUGCCGCGUGUAUGAAGAAGGCCUUCGGGUUGUAAAGUACUUUCAGCGGGGAGGAAGGGAGUAAAGUUAAUACCUUUGCUCAUUGACGUUACCCGCAGAAGAAGCACCGGCUAACUCCGUGCCAGCAGCCGCGGUAAUACGGAGGGUGCAAGCGUUAAUCGGAAUUACUGGGCGUAAAGCGCACGCAGGCGGUUUGUUAAGUCAGAUGUGAAAUCCCCGGGCUCAACCUGGGAACUGCAUCUGAUACUGGCAAGCUUGAGUCUCGUAGAGGGGGGUAGAAUUCCAGGUGUAGCGGUGAAAUGCGUAGAGAUCUGGAGGAAUACCGGUGGCGAAGGCG